UACGUAGGGACCGAGCGUUGUCCGGAAUCAUUGGGCGUAAAGAGCGUGUAGGCGGCUAUUUAAGUCCUGCGUGAAAUCCUGCGGCUCAACCGCAGACGGUCGUGGGAAACUGGAUGGCUAGAGUGCGGGAGAGGAGAGUGGAAUUCCCGGUGUAGCGGUGAAAUGCGUAGAUAUCUGGAGGAACACCGGUGGCGAAGGCGGCAUCCUGGACCAACACUGACGCUGAGGAGCGAAAGCCAGGGGAGCAAACGGG
rnacentral:rRNA from 1 species